CAUGCACCUCCCACUUUGAUGCCAUCCUUCUCCAUGCUGAAAUAGUUUUUGCAUAAGAUUUUUUUAUGCCAAAGAGUCCUUUAUCUUUUCUAUCUCACAUCCAAAUUUGGGUGGGAUCAAGUUUUAAAUGGUGUGUUCAAAUUUGAUUUGAAAUAGGAUACCAUAUAGAUAAUGUUUGACAUUAUCUCUAAGACCUUGCCACCAACUUAUCUUUUUCUUCUUAUGUGUGUGACAUUUUGAGGAGAUUUAUUGUGAAAAAUCAGUUGGAGAAUUGAUUUAUCAUAAAAAAAUAUGGGAAGGGGAGUC
rnacentral:lncRNA from 1 species